rnacentral:rRNA from 1 species
GAUGAACGCUAGCGGCAGGCCUAACACAUGCAAGUCGAGGGGUAACAUAGGAAAGCUUGCUUUUCUGAUGACGACCGGCGCACGGGUGCGUAACGCGUAUACAACCUACCUUUUAGCGGGGAAUAGCCCAGGGAAACUUGGAUUAAUGCCCCAUAGUAUAUAGACUUCUCCUGAAGUUUAUAUUAAACAUUUAUGGCUACUAGAUGGGUAUGCGUCCUAUUAGUUAGUUGGUAAGGUAACGGCUUACCAAGGCAGCGAUAGGUAGGGGUCCUGAGAGGGAGAUCCCCACACUGGUACUGAGACACGGACCAGACUCCUACGGGAGGCAGCAGUGAGGAAUAUUGGACAAUGGGCGAGAGCCUGAUCCAGCCAUGCCGCGUGCAGGAAGACUGCCCUAUGGGUUGUAAACUGCUUUUACAGAGGAAGAACCACCCCCACGUGUGGGGGUUUGACGGUACUCUGCGAAUAAGGAUCGGCUAACUCCGUG